CAAUUGAGACAGGUGGUGCAUGGUUGUCGUCAGCUCGUGUCGUGAGAUGUUGGGUUAAGUCCCGCAACGAGCGCAACCCUUGUGUUUUAGUUGCAAACAGGUCAAGCUGUGCACUCUAGACAGACUGCCGUGGACAACACGGAGGAAGUGGGGAUGACGUCAAAUCAUCAUGCCCUUAUGAUCUGGGCUACACACGUGCUACAAUGGCCGGUACAACGGGCAGCGAAGGAGCGAUCCGGAGCGAAUCCUAAAAAGCCGGUCCCAGUUCGGAUUGCAGGCUGAAACUCGCCUACAUGAAGUUGGAGUUGCUAGUAAUCGCGAAUCAGAAUGUCGCGGUGAAUGCGUUCCCGGGUCUU
rnacentral:rRNA from 1 species